AAAACGGUAGCCAUGAAUAUAUUUAGUGUUAUAUUUGCUUAGUUUGUAAUAAGCGACAAGCAAAUGUCAUUAAAAUAACAGCUUCGAAAUUUUAUAUUUAAAAAUUCAUAAGGAUUUUUGGUGGUAAUUACCAGAAAACAUAAUGAAACAUUCAUCAUGACAACACCGCAAAGGGGAGAGUACGUGAUAAUGACAUGAUAGUAAGAGGGAAAGAGCAUUUGUUGGACAAGUAGAUACGGCAAUUUCUCGUGUUUUUGCUGAUAACAAGUGAUAAUCGUGAUAUUAAUAAACUCCUUUCAAUUGCAGGAAAAUCGUCCUAAAUUUUCCUAACCUGUACUGUUUUGCACGAUUGUAAACAGGGACCAGUGGCGUGAGUUGUUUUGAAUUUAUAAGCUAAGAGCCAAAUUCGAUCCCUAUCGAAUCGCUUUCAAAUCCUUAAAAAAAUUGCGUUACUAUUAUAGCGUUUAUGAUUUCAAACAUAUAAUGUAGAGAUAAAGGUCAGAAAAUGAAUGAAUCUUUCAUGCUUAGAAUAAAUCGAUAAUACAGAUUUUUACUACGCCUAUGGCUAGCAGCCAGACCAGUUGAUUUUCCGAUUAUUCUACUCUUUGCCCGGUAUCUACUUUAUCCCUACCACCGGUUUUUAUUGCUAAAUCGCCGAUCGAUAGAAUUUGAACAAAUACGAAUGCCAAAAACAAAACGUUACUCAUUUGUUUCUGGGAUUUGGAACAUAAAAGUGUGACUGUGAGUGAAUCGAUCUCAGUGUUUGCAGUGCCGGAAAAAGUCACAACUGAUACAAAAAAUGGAUGAAUUUAAGAAGAAAUGUCGACAGUACAGUGUUGAUUAUUUGAAAUUUGAUUUGCUUCCAUCAACGUAUUACAAGAGGAGCUACUUGAGCUCAUCACCAACGAGGAACUGAAGGUGAAAUUUUAGAAAGGCUAACAAACAUUUUGGCUGCAGGCAGAAAUCCCCGUAAAAUAUGCUGGGCUAUGGAAAAUUGUGAGAAAAUUUUUGAUAGGGUUUCCCUCGUCCUAUCUUGUCGAAAGAAGUUUUAGUGUCGUUACCAACCUUUUAACAAAACAAUGAGCAUAUUGAACAUCACAGAACGGGGAGAUUUGAGAUUCCUUCUUACAAAACUGAAGACAAAUAUGGAUAAUUUGCUGCCAAUUCAUCAAGUACAUCCGUCUCAUUAAAAGUAUGACUAUGAGAAAGUAUUGUUAAUUUACAUUUCAGAGUUCAUUGUUGACUGUUUGUAUUAAUAAAUGUUUAUAAUUUUGCAUAA